CGGCGCGAGAUGGAUUGGCGGGAGUGACUAUUUUUCCUAGCUACGCCACUGAUGACUAUCAGGCACUGAACGCAAACGAGGGAGACACAAUUUAUCAAGAGGUAGAUACAACGCUAAUGAAGGAAGAAGAUAACGAUUACAUGUCAAUGACAACAAAAUAAAAGAGAAAAAAGCAAUAGAGUUCGUUGUAUUGACUGUUUGGUCCUUGAUGUGAAAUCCAGCUCAACGGAAACAAAGAAAAAAGAAUGAUGUACUUCUUUAAUAUUUUCGCUCGCGUUUUAAGGUUUAUCGUGUGAUGUUUCAGGAGGCAAACCUUUGGAAUGUGGAAAUAAU